rnacentral:rRNA from 1 species
UACGUAGGGGGCAAGCGUUGUCCGGAUUUAUUGGGCGUAAGGAGCGUGUAGGCGGCUUUACAGGUCCGUUGUGAAAACUCGAGGCUCAACCUCGAGACGCCGGUGGAAACCGUAAAGCUAGAGUCCGGAAGAGGAGAGUGGAAUUCCUGGUGUAGCGGUGAAAUGCGCAGAUAUCAGGAAGAACACCCGUGGCGAAGGCGGCUCUCUGGGACGGUACUGACGCUGAGACGCGAAAGCGUGGGGAGCGAACAGG